rnacentral:rRNA from 1 species
CACACUGUAAACGAUGAUAACUCGCUGCCGGCGAUACAUAGUCGGUGGCCAAGCGAAAGCAUUAAGUUAUCCACCUGGGGAGUACGACCGCAAGGUUGAAACUCAAAGGAAUUGACGGGGGCCCGCACAAGCGGAGGAACAUGUGGUUUAAUUCGAUGAUACGCGAGGAACCUUACCCGGGCUCGAACGGUGCAUGCAUAUACGAGAGAUUGUAUAUUCCUUUGGGACAUGUAUCGAGGUGC